rnacentral:tRNA from 1 species
GCAAAUAUAGUUUAAUGAAAACAUUAGAUUGUGAAUCUAAGCAUAGAAGUUUAAACCUUCUUAUAUGCC